rnacentral:rRNA from 1 species
GACGAACGCUGGCGGCGUGCCUAAUACAUGCAAGUCGAGCGAACAGACGAGGAGUUUGCUCCUUUGACGUUAGCGGCGCACGGGUGAGUAACAUGUGGAUAAUCUACCUAUAAGUCUUGGAUAACUUCGGGAAUCCGGCUCUAAUACCGUAUAAUCUACUGAUCCUCAUGGUUCACUAGUUAUAUUCGGUUUUGCUGUCACUUCUAGCUGUUUUCGCGCCGCUUUAGCUAGUUGUUAAGGUGCCGGCUUAUUACGGCAACGAUGCGUAGCCGAACUGAGAGGAUGAUCGGCCGAACUGGAAGUGAAACACGGUCCAGAGGCCUACGGGAAGCAGCAGUAGGAAAUCGUCCGCAAUGGGCGAAAGAUUGACGGAGAAACGCGGAAGGAGUGAUGAGGGUCUUCGGAUCGUGAAACUCUGUUGUUAGGGAAGAACAAGUGUGUAAGUGACUAUGCACGUGUUGACGGUAACUGAGCAGAAAGACACGGCUAACUAAGUG